UCUCCGUAGGUGAACCUGCGGAGGGAUCAUUACUGAGUGAGGGGCUCCGGCCCCAGACCUCCAACCCAUUGUUAUCCGACACUGUUGCCUCGGGGGCGACCCUGCCGUCCGCGGCUGAGCGCCCCCGGGGUCAAUCAAACACUGCAUUCUCUGCGUCGGAGUAUUAGUAAAUCUAAUCAAAACUUUCAACAACGGAUCUCUUGGUUCUGGCAUCGAUGAAGAACGCAGC
rnacentral:misc_RNA from 1 species